GGAAGGUGUUCCCUGAGCAGGACCAUUUUGGAGCGCGAUCCCGUCGCGAUUGCUCGCCCUCCACUUCUCGCUUUAGGCACACGUUCAGUGCACAGUUCAAGAGCAGUUUAUCUAAGCUUAAUGGUCUCUCCUCUCGCUCGUACAGAAAAGAAAAAGAAAAAAAUGUCAUUAGAAGAGGCGUAACACGUCAGUCCGUCCCCAGGAGCUGCAUCUCCCUUCACCUUUUCUCCUCCACUUCGCGGCUUCUUCAUGCUUUUUCUUCUCACCAUUUCUGGCCAAAACUACAAACAAGACUUCGCAGAGCCUGCGUGCUGCUGC
rnacentral:lncRNA from 1 species